rnacentral:rRNA from 1 species
UACGAAGGGGGCUAGCGUUGCUCGGAAUUACUGGGCGUAAAGGGAGCGUAGGCGGACUGUUAAGUUAGAGGUGAAAGCCCAGGGCUCAACCUUGGAAUUGCCUUUGAUACUGGCAGUCUUGAGUACGGAAGAGGUAUGUGGAACUCCGAGUGUAGAGGUGAAAUUCGUAGAUAUUCGGAAGAACACCAGUGGCGAAGGCGACAUACUGGUCCGUUACUGACGCUGAGGCUCGAAAGCGUGGGGGAGCAAACAGGAUUAGAUACCCUGGUAGUCCACGCCGUAAACGAUGAGUGCUGGUUGUCGGCAUGCAUGCAUGUCGGUGACGCAGCUAACGCAUUAAGCACUCCGCCUGGGGAGUACGGUCGCAAGAUUAAAACUCAA